UUCCAGCUCGAAGCCGGUCCGAGCCCCGCAGCCGGUUCGAACCCCGGGCCAGUCCAAGCCCCGGGGCCGGAGCGCGGAUCGUGGAUCGCGGAUCGCGGCGCUUUUACCAGGAAGUUGACAGCUCUGCAAGGAGUCUGUGUCCCAGAGGGAUGGCAGUCCCUGGCCAUGCAGAUGAGGCAUGAAGAGAUUGGGAAUAUUUCCUAAGGACACAAGGGAAACCUGAGUCAAUGCCAGUGAGUCACAAAUCUUCAUUCAACUCAGCAUCUGCUCAGGUGCUGCAAGGGGAGCCUUGAAAAGCUGGAGAACACCCUCAGUUUUGGGCAAUGUGCUCUGGCAGUGCCAUCACACCCAGGCAGGCCAUUCCUUGAGUGUGUAAAUGGAAUAAACAGGGAUAGAGGAAGGUUUGAGAGUUCCACCCCUCAUCUUUGCUCUUGUUACAGCCUAAGGAGCGCAGUAAAGGGAAUUUGAGAAGAUUUAGAAGAUGAAAAAGGGUUGAGAAGCACAUGAGUACCAUUCAGGCCUUCCAAACCCUUUAAUUUGCUAUUCAGAUUACCACUUUUUAUAGUUUAAUAUGUACAAUAUGCAAAGGAACCAGUUUAACUAAAAGGGAAAAGCCUUCUGUGUUAAGGUUGAACGUAAUCUAAUAGGGCCCUUUGACUUGAUUCAAUUAAAUCCUUCUUUUUCCAAUUAAAUAAUCAUCCAGAAUUUAAUAAAAAUGAAUUUCCAUGUGUCAUCCUGCAGAAUGAUGACCUCUGUGAUGGGGAAGGCUUAUGUAAAUUCUGCUGAUCGCUCUUUAUCUGCCUCUGCCUCACUUCCUCCAAAAAAAAUUGCCUUCUGUCUGUAUAUUUACAUUAAUUUCUCAUCUGCUCCAUGUAUCUCUGUUUGCAGGAACAAUUCCCAGCUGAAGGAGCUGUGAGUAACACCAGCUUCCUUCAGUACAUCCUCAAAAAUGGACCCUCUGUGAUGGGAAAAUGAUCUCCAAAGUGGGAUUUUUGCUCUGUGCCUCGGGUUUGUUGUGCCCUGGCAUGCUGUAGGGCCAGCUUCCAAUUGGCCCCUUCCAAAUAUCACCAGAGGCAUCUCUGUGGCUGUUUAUCACCAAGAAAAUCCAGCCCAAGAGAGCAGAAACAGCAGAAACUUCAGCAGCAAUCCCCAGGAAAAGCACAUUCCGGUCUCUUCCAGCACAUCUCCACUAAAUAAUUCCCAUCAAGGCUUCCACAGUUGUUAAUAUCUAUUAAUUUAUUUUUUCCCCUCUGCAAAGGCGUAUUUAUAAAUGCAUUUUACACCCCUCUCACUCAUAAAAUACAGAGCACCAACUCUUUCCUUCCUCAGCAGCAUCUUUAUGCAAACCUUGCUGAUGUGGUAGGUAGUGCUGUAAUAACUUAUUAGUUAUUAAAACUACUAAGUUAUUAAAACGUAUAACUAAGUUAUAGUUACUAACUUAUAAGUUACUAAAACUGAAUUAAACGCAGCUAAGGAUGGACAGGUUUAAAUUUUGAGUGAAUAUUCAGUUUAUCUCUUGCCACAUUUCCCCAUCUCUCUCUCUGUGAGGGUAAAAUGGUCUUGGCGACCUUCCUGUGCUGCACAUCCCUGGGGACCAUGAAAACAAACCCAUUAAUGUUUAUAAAGUGUCUCAGACUGGGAGAAUUACAUCACUGUGGCGAGAUACAAGCUUAAUGGAUCAAAACAAACCCCAGCUCCAAACCCCCCAGCUUAGACACAUCUCAGUUACCCGGCACAAACCUCAAGGAAUCCCACUGAGAAGGGAUAAUUGAGAGAAAAAUGUGAUCCCAGAGAUUUUUCUGCAGUAAACCCAUUUUAUGUUAAUAGAAAGCAGAUUUCUAGAGCCCUUUGCAAAGCAAUGACUUCCACAGCAUAUUUCACAGCUGAGCACAUCCAUGGCACCAGCUUUGGACACGGGGCUAUUAAACCCAACAUUUGUUUAAUGAAUUACAGCAGUCCAUGGAUCUGGGUGUGCUCAGCCUGUGUUUAAAUGUUUAUUGUCAGCAGCCAGCUCUGCAUGAGCAGGUAUCAGCCUCAGUGAUGAGCCGUCUCUGCAAUGGACACAAAACUUUGAACUUUUUUUGGGUUCUGCUUUCUUAUCCAAGACAGAUUACCCCGCAGUUCAGGGUCUCUGCUAAACAUGAAACUUUUUGGGUUCAGUGCCAGUUUGGGGUGUUUUCUCCUUGCUGAUGAGCUGUUGUGCAUCUCCCACCAGCCUGGGCUUGGUCCCUGUGACUGAAGGGUGGAUUAAGCCAUUAAAACUCACACGUUCAAGCAAGGCUGAUGUGCUGCAGCCAUCUCCAAGAUGACCCCGCUCUCACCUCACCAGUCAAUCUAUAAACCUUAACAAAAAAUUAACUCUGGUUCACCCAGCUGUUUUAACACGUUCUCCACUGCAAACUAUGUGUGAAGUGCUCCCUUUCAUGGUAGAUGGAGACAGUGGUGAUGAUGUGCUGUGAUCACUUUGAUUUCCUGCAAAAUGCCUUUGAUGUAUGGUGGUCUCCACUGCAGAAAUCCCCACCCAGGAGCAGCUUUAGAGUCCUUUGGGCUGGAAGAGACCCUAAGAACCAUCUCAUCCCACCUCUGCCAUGGACAGGGAUGCUUUCCACUAUCCCAGGUUGCUCCAAGCCCUGUCCAACCUGGCCUUGGACACUUCCAGGGACCCACAGCUUCUCUGUGCCAGGGCCUCACCCACCUUCACAAUUAAGAAUUUCUUCCUCAUAUCCAGUGUAACCCUGCCCCCUGCAAGUGGGAACCCAUUCCCCUUUGUCCUGUCAUUCAGGUGAAGUUUGAAUGAAAUGUCAUUUCUUCUUCUCUUCCCCAGCACAAAUUAGGGAGCAAAGAUGUGGUUGGGCUUUUUCAGAACUGCCAGGGUGGUUUGGGAGAUCAGGCCCUGCUGAUCCCCCAAGAAGAUGAGAAUGGGGACUCUGUGGAGAAUUAUCAUUGCAGCCCCAAUUUACCUCCUGUUCUGUGAUGAGCAUCGUGUGGAAACUCCAAUGAACAGUGAGAAUGUGAAGCACUCAGCAGGAUAAUGUGUGCCGUGAAAAAAACCCUGUGAUCAAUCAGCAGACAAAUAUAUACUUAAACGAGGUGUUGGUGGGAGAGAUGCAGGAAAGGUGAUUAUGGGUUUGUCGCAGUGUUUCCCUCAGCAACAAUGCUGACACGCAGGGGUGGGUCACCCUACCCUGCCAUUAAUGGAGCAUCAGCACUCAUCUGACAGCUCCUUUGUCCUGGGAACUCAAUUCCCAUGAAGAUUUGACAUUAGCAGAGGCACGGGGAAACUCAGAGCCUUUGCAUUUUCAUGACGUUCCAACUGCUUUAGCCUGGUGGAUUACAGGACAGAAAUCAAAUGAAGAUGUCAAAACUCUGCUCCCUCUGCCUCAGGCAAAACUGAGCCACGGUGACCCCCAAGUCCUUCCAAAGGGGAUCUGAGUUUGUGUGGAGGAAAAACAUCUCCAGCAUCCUCCUAACUGAGGGCAGCACGAGAUGAAAGUUUAGCAGGAAAAAUCAGAGGAAAAUAAUGGUGUCAGGAUCUGGAUCUGAUUUCUGCAGCUUUAAAGGAGGGAAAAACCAGGGAGAUCCCAGCCUUAGGGUGCAAGAUGUGUUGAAAUAGAGAUGUAAAUCAGGACAGUGGUAACUCAUGUGGGUUCAGCAGUGACAUUUCCUGAAGAUAAAGCACAUUUUACAUGCACUCUGUACUUGCUGGUAACAAAUCUUUCCAUUAGUACAAGAAAAUACAUAUUAUACCUCAAACAUGCUUCACUGAGCUUGGAGAAUAAAGAUAAAAUAAUCUUUUUAUAGCAAAUAGGAAUGAAUACUUAAAAAUAAUAAAAAGUUGGUGAAUAUUCAUUUGAACUCUUAAGCAAAUUUGCCCUUGUCAUAUUUGCAUCCCUCUUGUGUUCUCCUUCUGUGCAAUGAAGUUUUAUUAGCAUGAACAUCCACAGAAAGUGAAUGUGAAGACUCAAUACCCAUGGGAAAUGAAUUUAAAAUUCAUUUGCUGUGUGCAGUCACCCAAGAAACUUGAUCAUAAUUGUUUAUUGUACUUAAAUAUUUAUAUUGUUGAAGCACUUGUUAGAUAAAAAGGCUGUGAUGCUCCUCUGCAGGGUGAUGUUCAAACACUGUCCCAGGCUACAGGAAUCACCUCCAUCCCCAGCAAACACUCAGCUGGGACAGGUUUCUCCAGGCUGGAUGAUGUGGCAGGUGGCAAAUUUCAAGGUCAUCAACAAACAUUGGGUGAAAAAUCAAAAAAAUUUCUCUUAAUUCUUAUUAGCAUGUUGAGAGGAUCCACUGAAUGGCAGCACCUCCCAUGGGUGCACUCACAC